rnacentral:rRNA from 1 species
GUGCCAGCCGCCGCGGUAAUACAUGUGGGGCAAGCGUUGUUCGGAAUUACUGGGCAUAAAGGGUGCGUAGGCGGCUUAUCAAGUCGCAGGUGAAAGUUUUCGGCCCAACCGGAAAAGUGCCUGCGAUACUGAUGAGCUUGAGUGCGUGAGGGGUCGGGGGAACGAGCAGUGUAGCGGUGAAAUGCGUAGAUAUUGCUCGGAAGGCCAGAGCCGAAGGGGCCCGACUGGUGCGCAACUGACGCUGAGGCACGAAAGCGUGGGGAGCAAACAGGAUUAGAUACCCGAGUAGUCC